UGAUCCCCCCGGAGGUUACUGCUAUCGGUGUUCGCCUCCUUUAUGCGGGUCAUAUGUUCUUCGUGAACAUGGCGUACUGCUCAGUAACACGUGAAUAACCUGCCCUUGGGACCGGCAUAACCCCGGGAAACUGGGGAUAAUUCCGGAUACCGCAUAUAUGCUGGAAUGCUUUAUGCGUGAAAUGGAUUCUUCUGCCCAAGGAUGGAUCUGCGGCCUAUCAGGUAGUAGUGGGUGUAAUGUACCUACUACCCUACAACGGGUACGGGUUGUGAGAGCAAGACCCCGGAAAUGGAUUCUGAAACAUGAAUCCAGGCCCUACGGGGCGCA
rnacentral:rRNA from 1 species